GAUGUAGGAAUGUCAAACAUGCAUCCAAGGGCAGGAGCCUACGCCAGCAAUACCACUUUUGGGUAUUUAUCCCCAAAAACUGAAAGCAGGAUCUCAAAGAGAUAUUUGCACGCCCAUAUUCACUGCAGCAUUAUUCACAAUAGCCAAAAGGUGGAAGCGACCCAGAAGUCCAUUGAAGAUGAAUGCAUAAACAAAUGGAAUACUAUUCAGCCUUAAAAAAGAAAGAAAUCCCGCCACAUGCUACACCAUGAAUGAACCGUGAGGACGUGAUAGAGCAGCCCCAGAAGGCGCCCCAUUCUUGGGCCUCCUCCUUCACUCACUGGGAAGUAAACAGAGAUGGGAGGGUCCCUGUUCUGGGAAAAAGCUAAUCAAAUGAUCCAACAGCUCCUCCUUUGCAACCCCGAGAGAGGUACCAGGAAAUACAGUGUUGGCGGAGACCAGGAGGGCCAUGAAUAAGGGAGGCUGUCACGGAAAACUGCUCCCUUCCUCCCAGCUCCAUCCAGACCUUUGCCUUCACACGCUAACCCCGGAGUAGGUAUCAGCCAGGGGGCUGGAAAGAGACCCAGGCUCGGGGAGCACAGUCGCCCAGCCUUCUCCCUCUGCACUUUGGAAAAGAAACCGUCUUCUCUCCCUGUCCUGUUAUUUAGUGUUUGGGAAAGGACCCAAAGUCAGCUAGGAGGCAGGGGACUGGGAACCACUGCGAAGGAAUUUCCGAGGACGUGGGGGAUCAGGCUGCCAGGACGGAUGUGGAUGUGUGUGACCAGCAAGGAGCUUCUGAGGUCUGAAGAUUGGGAAGGUCAAGAGUCAAUCCCCCCUAAGCCCCAAAGAGAGAG